rnacentral:rRNA from 1 species
AUGAGCAUGCUCCGCCGCGCUCUCCUGUUCGGCCACCGCCUCCGCCGAGGCUUCUCCUCGGGUGCGGACCUUCCUCCGCCGCGCCCAUCUGCCUGCCGCCGCGUGGUCGUGACGGGGCUGGGCGCCGUCACGCCGCUCGGCCGCGGCGUCGGGUCCACCUGGGACCGCCUCGUGGCCGGAGACUGCGCGGUGCGCGCGCUCGCCGCGGAGGACCUACGCCUCACCGGGGAUGCCGCGGGGAGGACGUUGGAGCAGCUCCCAUCGAGGGUCUUCGCCGCCGUGCCGCGCGGGAAGGGCGAGGCCGAGUUCGACGAGGAGGCGUGGACCAAGGACAGUAGAUCUAUAUCGGGAUUUAUAGCAUAUGCUCUAUGUGCAGCUGAUGAGGCUUUGAGAGAUGCAAAUUGGCUGCCCUCGGAAAAUGAGAAGAAGGAAAGAACGGGUGUUUCAAUUGGUGGGGGAAUCGGAAGCAUCUCAGACAUUUUAGAUGCAUCACAGCUGAUUGCUGAAAAUCGUCUACGUCGUCUCAGCCCAUUCUUCAUCCCCAAGAUUUUGAUCAACAUGGCAUCAGGUCAUGUCAGCAUGAAAUAUGGUUUCCAGGGUCCAAACCAUGCUGCCGUGACAGCUUGUGCCACAGGCGCUCAUUCUAUUGGCGACGCUACACGGAUGAUUCAAUUUGGAGAUGCAGAUGUGAUGGUGGCUGGAGGAACAGAGUCUAGUAUUGAUGCUUUAUCUAUAGCUGGAUUUUCUAGGUUAAGGGCAUUGUCUACAAAGUAUAACUCUCUUCCACAAGCAUCUUCGAGGCCAUUUGAUUGUGGCAGAGAUGGAUUUGUGAUUGGUGAAGGCUGUGGAGUCAUGGUGUUGGAGGCACUUGACCAUGCAAUGGAACGAGGCGCAAAAAUUUAUGCAGAAGUUCGAGGCUAUGGCAUGUCUGGUGAUGCACACCACAUAACUCAGCCACAAAAUGAUGGUAGAGGUGCUAUCUUAGCCAUGGAGAGGGCAUUGGAACAGUCAGGGCUUCAGGCAGAUCAAAUUGAUUAUUUGAAUGCGCAUGCAACAUCAACUCCUCUCGGGGAUGCUGUGGAGGCAACUGCAAUAAAAUCUGUCUUUGGCCACCACGCGACAUCCGGUGGUCUUGCGUUAUCCUCAACUAAGGGAGCAAUCGGUCAUCUGCUAGGGGCGGCUGGUUCAGUGGAAGCAAUCUUCACCGUGCUAGCAAUCCACCAUGGAGUGGCGCCGCCCACGCUCAACCUGGAGCAGCCCGACCUGCUGUUUGAGGGCGCGUUCAUGCCUCUAACCGCCGCCAAGAAGAUGCAUAUACGGGCCGCCAUCUCGAAUUCCUUCGGGUUUGGUGGAACCAACGCGUCGCUGCUGUUCUCGUGCCCGCCCUAG